rnacentral:ncRNA from 1 species
GAGCCGUCAUUUAAUUGUAUAAUAGAUUGUACACUUCCUUUUCCAAAAGUUGAUUUACCAACAACUACUGCACGUUUAUAAUCCUGCAUAGCUCCUGCUAUAAUCUCACUGGCUGAUGCUGACCAUUCAUUUACAAGCACAACCAUAGGUAUAGUUCUGUUUGUAAAAUUAACUGCUUCUGUUUUAUAGUGUUUUUCCUGUUUAUCUCUUUCGCGGGUAAAAACUACUGUUUUAUUAAUAGGUAAAAAGAUACUUGCAAUAGAAAUAGCCUCGUUUAAUAAACCUCCACCAUUAUUUCUUA